CCAUCUAGCCCUUGGGUAGAUCCGCCAGGAAGCCAACCUAACACUUGGCAAAUUGGUGACCCAUCAGGCCUAGGACAGCCUGGAGCUGAUCCUUGGAUCCCAACGAAAGCACACUCCGAUACACCCAGUGCAACAGAUGGUCAACAAACAACACCUUAGUGCCUCAAAUACAAAAUGUAAACAGGAUCCUCUUUCCCUACCAUAUUUGUCACAAAAGCCACGGGAACGUACAACACGACGCUGCUCAAUUCAAAAGUCUAUUCACGUCUCAACGUCCGCCAACAAUCCACAAUAUGAGCGUUUUUAAACUGUAUUACUGUAUUUUGUAUGCAUUUCCACAAUGCAUAUAGUUCCGCCGAGAUGACUAAAUAAACGAAAUAAUUGUCA